UCCUUUCUAUUAGUAAGACAAAUGGGACAUACCUGAUCAUCAUAAGUAGAACUUGAAUAAGGAGUUGUGUUGACUGGAGUAUCAUAUUCAGAAUAUUGGGAGUCAUAUCCAGAAUAAGAAGGUAAUGAUGAAUCAUAUCCAGAAACUGGUGACUCAGAUCCAGAAAAAGAAGGUGCCCGUAGAUGAAAGCGGUUUGAGCUUGAAGGUGUUCCACUGUUGCUGAAAGAAGAUGGUCCAUGA
rnacentral:misc_RNA from 1 species